GCACAUCCACCUUGACGACAAAGAGGAAAUGCUUACAUCCGACCCACAGGACAAGCGGGAGAGCAGACAGAGAGCAUCCAGUGUUGCCUUCACUAGACAGCAGCAGAUAGGUGCUCGUCUGUGUUUCAGUCCACCAAGACAGGACUCCUCUUCUGUCCAAGAGCUCCUGAGAGUCAACAUGAACCCUUCGACACAAAGCCGCC